rnacentral:rRNA from 1 species
CCAAGUUUUUAAGGGCGCACGGUGGAUGCCUUGGCACCAGGAACCGAUGAAGGACGUGGGAGGCCACGAUAGGCCCCGGGGAGUCGUCAACCAGGCUUUGAUCCGGGGGUGUCCGAAUGGGGAAACCCGGCAGUCGUCAUGGGCUGUCACCCUUGCCUGAACACAUAGGGCAAGUGGAGGGAACGCGGGGAAGUGAAACAUCUCAGUACCCGCAGGAAGAGAAAACAACCGUGAUUCCGGGAGUAGUGGCGAGCGAAACCGGAUGAGGCCAAACCGUAUGCGUGUGAGACCCGGCAGGGGUUGCGUAUACGGGGUUGUGGGAUCUCUCUUCUGUUGUCUGCCGGCAACAGGACGAGUCAGAAACCGUUGAUGUAGGCGAAGGACAUGCGAAAGGUCCGGCGUAGAGGGUAAGACCCCCGUAGCUGAAACAUUGACGGCUCGUUUGAGAGACACCCAAGUAGCACGGGGCCCGAGAAAUCCCGUGUGAAUCUGGCGGGACCACCCGCUAAGCCUAAAUAUUCCCUGGUGACCGAUAGCGGAUAGUACCGUGAGGGAAUGGUGAAAAGUACCGCGGGAGCGGAGUGAAAUAGUACCUGAAACCGUGUGCCUACAAGCCGUGGGAGCGUCGGACAUCAAGCUUGCUUGGUGUCUCGUGACUGCGUGCCUUUUGAAGAAUGAGCCUGCGAGUUUGCGGUGUGUUGCGAGGUUAACCCGGGUGGGGUAGCCGUAGCGAAAGCGAGUCCGAACAGGGCGUUUUAGUAGCACGCUCAAGACCCGAAGCGGAGUGAUCUAGCCAUGGGCAGGUUGAAGCGGAGGUAAGACUUCGUGGAGGACCGAACCCACCAGGGUUGAAAACCUGGGGGAUGACCUGUGGUUAGGGGUGAAAGGCCAAUCAAACUCCGUGAUAGCUGGUUCUCCCCGAAAUGCAUUUAGGUGCAGCGUCGUGUGUUUCUUGCCGGAGGUAGAGCACUGGAUAGGCGAUGGGCCCUACCGGGUUACUGACCUUAGCCAAACUCCGAAUGCCGGUAAGUGAGAGCGCGGCAGUGAGACUGUGGGGGAUAAGCUCCAUGGUCGAGAGGGAAACAGCCCAGAGCAUCGACUAAGGCCCCUAAGCGUACGCUAAGUGGGAAAGGAUGUGGAGUCGCAGAGACAACCAGGAGGUUGGCUUAGAAGCAGCCACCCUUGAAAGAGUGCGUAAUAGCUCACUGGUCUAGUGAUUCCGCGCCGACAAUGUAGCGGGGCUCAAGCGUACCGCCGAAGUCGUGUCAUUGCGAUAUAUACCCCCAACAGGGAUCGUGAUGGGUAGGGGAGCGUCGUGUGCCGGGUGAAGCAGCCGUGGAAGCGAGUUGUGGACGGUUCACGAGUGAGAAUGCAGGCAUGAGUAGCGAUACAAACGUGAGAAACGUUUGCGCCGAUUGACCAAGGGUUCCUGGGUCAAGCUGAUCUGCCCAGGGUAAGUCGGGACCUAAGGCGAGGCCGACAGGCGUAGUCGAUGGAUAACCGGUUGAUAUUCCGGUACCCGCUGUGAAGCGUCAAACAUUGAACCAGGCGAUGCUAAGUCCGUGAAGCCGUCCCGGAUCCUUCGGGUGAAGGGGAGUGGUGGAGCCGACGGACCAGACUUGCAGUAGGUGAGUGAUGGGGUGACGCAGGAAGGUAGUCCAUCCCGGGCGGUGGUUGUCCCGGGGUAAGGGUGUAGGCCGUGCGAUAGGUAAAUCCGUCGCACACAAGGCUGAGACCUGAUGCCGAGCCGAUUGUGGUGAAGUGGAUGAUCCUAUGCUGUCGAGAAAAGCCUCUAGCGAGUUUCAUGGCGGCCCGUACCCUAAACCGACUCAGGUGGUCUGGUAGAGAAUACCGAGGCGUUCGGGUGAACUAUGGUUAAGGAACUCGGCAAAAUGCCCCCGUAACUUCGGGAGAAGGGGGGCCAUCACUGGUGAUCCGAUUUACUCGGUGAGCUGGGGGUGGCCGCAGAGACCAGCGAGAAGCGACUGUUUACUAAAAACACAGGUCCGUGCGAAGCCGUAAGGCGAUGUAUACGGACUGACGCCUGCCCGGUGCUGGAACGUUAAGGGGACCGGUUAGUCACUCUUCGGGGUGGCGAAGCUGAGAACUUAAGCGCCAGUAAACGGCGGUGGUAACUAUAACCAUCCUAAGGUAGCGAAAUUCCUUGUCGGGUAAGUUCCGACCUGCACGAAUGGCGUAACGACUUCUCGACUGUCUCAACCAUAGGCCCGGUGAAAUUGCACUACGAGUAAAGAUGCUCGUUUCGCGCAGCAGGACGGAAAGACCCCGGGACCUUUACUACAGUUUGAUAUUGGUGUUCGGUUCGGCUUGUGUAGGAUAGCUGGGAGACUGUGAAGCUCGGACGCCAGUUCGGGUGGAGUCGUCGUUGAAAUACCAGUCUGGUCGUGCUGGAUGUCUAACCCGGGUCCGUGAUCCGGAUCGGGGACAGUGUCUGAUGGGUAGUUUAACUGGGGCGGUUGCCUCCCAAAGGGUAACGGAGGCGCCCAAAGGUUCCCUCAGCCUGGUUGGCAAUCAGGUGGUGAGUGUAAGUGCACAAGGGAGCUUGACUGUGAGACCGACGGGUCGAGCAGGGACGAAAGUCGGGACUAGUGAUCCGGCGGUGGCUUGUGGAAGCGCCGUCGCUCAACGGAUAAAAGGUACCCCGGGGAUAACAGGCUGAUCUUCCCCAAGAGUCCAUAUCGACGGGAUGGUUUGGCACCUCGAUGUCGGCUCGUCGCAUCCUGGGGCUGGAGUCGGUCCCAAGGGUUGGGCUGUUCGCCCAUUAAAGCGGUACGCGAGCUGGGUUUAGAACGUCGUGAGACAGUUCGGUCCCUAUCCGCUGCGCGCGCAGGAAUAUUGAGAAGGGCUGUCCCUAGUACGAGAGGACCGGGACGGACGAACCUCUGGUGUGCCAGUUGUUCUGCCAAGGGCAUGGCUGGUUGGCUACGUUCGGGAGGGAUAACCGCUGAAAGCAUCUAAGCGGGAAGCCUGCUUCGAGAUGAGUAUUCCCACCCACUUGAUGGGGUAAGGCUCCCAGUAGACGACUGGGUUGAUAGGCCAGAUAUGGAAGCCUGGUAACGGGUGGAGUUGACUGGUACUAAUAGGCCGAGGGCUUGUCCUC